ACACGCAUGACACACUGCAUAUCAAUAAGCGGAGGAAAAGAAACUAACAAGGAUUCCCUUAGUAACGGCGAGUGAAGCGGGAAGAGCUCAAAUUUGAAAUCUUCAAGGUUCUACCUUGACGAAUUGUAGUUUAUAGAAGUGUUUUCUGUUAGUAGAGUGGCAAAAGUUCUUUGGAAUAGGACAUCAUAGAGGGUGAGAAUCCCGUAUUUGGUCAUUCCUUCCUAGCUUUGUGAUACACUUUCAACGAGUCGGAUUGUUUGGGAAUGUAGUCCAAAAUGGGUGGUAAAUUUCAUCUAAAGCUAAGUAUUGGCGAGAGACCGAUAGCGAACAAGUACCGUGAGGGAAAGAUGAAAAGAACUUUGAAAAGAGAGUUAAACAGUACGUGAAAUUGUCAAAAGGGAAGCGUUUGACACCAGUGUUGUUUUUCCGAAAAUCAAUUACGAAUGUUUUAUUUUUGAGGAAGUUAUGACUUCAUCGGCUUGCUCCUUUCUUUAUGAAACUUUCUUAAUGCACUUUUCGGUUAACAAGUCAACAUCAAUUUCUUUUGUUGCUAAAAGGGUAUGAGGAAGGUGGCUUUCUUUUCGGAGAAAGUGUUUAUAGCCUUGUACCUCUAGCAAUCGGAGAGAUUGAGGUCUGCAGCGUAGAUCCCUCGGGGUUAGACUACAUUUGUGCUAAGUUAUAGCUUUUCAUAGACAACUUGUUGACUAUGUUUAGUCUUGUAGCUUACUCGCUUAUGCUAUUUUACCUACGCUUAGGAUGUUGAGCGCAUGUCUCUCUCU
rnacentral:rRNA from 1 species